GACGAACGCUGGCGGCGUGCUUAACACAUGCAAGUCGAACGGUAAGGCCCUUCGGGGUACACGAGUGGCGAACGGGUGAGUAACACGUGGGUGAUCUGCCCUGCACUUCGGGAUAAGCCUGGGAAACUGGGUCUAAUACCGGAUAGGACUCCGGACUGCAUGGUCUGGGGUGGAAGGCUUUUGCGGUGUGGGAUGGGCCCGCGGCCUAUCAGCUUGUUGGUGGGGUGAUGGCCUACCAAGGCGACUACGGGUCGCCGGCCUGAGAGGGUGACCGGACGACCUGUGACUGAGGUACGGCGCAGACUCCGACGGGAGGCAGCAGUGGGGAAUAUGGCACAAUGGGCGCAAGCCUGAUGCAGCGACGCCGCGUGAGGGAUGACGGCCUUCGGGUUGUAAACCUCUUUCAGCAUCGACGAAGCGAAAGUGACGGUAGGUGCAGAAGAAGGACCGGCCAACUACGUGCCAGCCGCCGCGGUAA
rnacentral:rRNA from 1 species